rnacentral:lncRNA from 10 species
GACGCCGCCAGCUGAUCGGAGCCUGGAGCCGGUGUGUGCUGGGUGCCGAGAAGAGACAGCGCCGCCGGCCGUGGGGAGCGGACGCAGUGAUUUGCUCCCCCUCGUGCAGCAACCCCCACACCCAGCACCAGGAGCCUGUUCCUCUCACGCCCUCACCUGGCUGAGCCGCAGUAGUUCUUCAGUGGCAAGCUUUAUGUCCUGACCCAGCUAAAGCUGCCAGUUGAAGAACUGUUGCCCUCUGCCCCUGGCUUCGAGGAGGAGGAGGAGCUGCUUUCCCCAUCAUCUGGAAGGAAGCUGUGUCUGUUCGAUUUGGUGGGAGGAGAUGUGCAGGGAGCUGUAUCUUGUCCUCCGCUUGUGAAAAACUCAAGGAUGUGGAGAAGAGUAGACCGUGGAACCCUGCUCUUCUGCAGCCAAGCUGAGGGGCAGGAUGCGUGUGGGACAGUGGUAGAGAAGCAGGGGAUAGACUCAUAGGCUGCAACAAAGGUGACUCUGUCCCUGGACACUGCCUCCGUACUUUCUCCUUGCUUCACUGGCCACAGCAUCUCCCUCCAGCCCUCGCUAUGUGCCUCUGCCAUCUUCACCCAUCAUGGAGCAGAGGUGAGGAGAGGCAGCCUGGGAAUAUGGAGACCAGUGAAGGACCAGGCCUGGAGAGCACAGGGUCCUACCUGGGCAUCCAGCAGAGGAGCCCCUAAAGGCCAGGAGCACCCCAAGAGGAGGGAGGGCAGCCAGCCUCCAUUGACGGCGAGCCUCCAGCCCUCUCCUACUUUGAUCACCAUUUCUCUCCAGGCUUUCUGCCUCCGAGAUGUGGCACCAUAGUGCGGUGCCCUGUGGCUUCACCGCCCUACUUCCACCUCCGCCCAGCCUGUAAUGUUUAUAUAAGCAGCCUCAAGGACCAAGAACCAUCUGCGAAAGGACACACACAGGAAAUUCAUAAAAGAAAUCUGAAUGGAUAAAACCAUGAAAAAAAGUAUGCUUCAUUAGUAAUUAAAGAAAGGCAAAUAGAGCUGGAAGCAUUUUUCCCUUAGCAAACCAUAACAGAAAAAAAUAAGACCCAAUAUUGGCAAAGAGACUACUGAAAAAACAUUCCCAUACAUUGCGUGUGGGAGUAUACAUCGGUGCAGGCUUCCUGGAUGACAGUUGGGUGAUAUGUGUCAUGUGGCCUAAAAGCCUCCAUGUCAUUUGACCUACGAAUUCUAUCUUUGGGAAUUUAUCCUAAGAAAAUACUUAAGGAUUUAGUUAGUGAUAAGAUGUUCAUCCCAGCAUUGCAAUGGAGAAAAAUGGGAAGCAAUGGUUUGGUUGGGAAUUUAUUCCUUUUCUGCUGUAACGAAAGUUUGCAAUAGGGGAUUGCUUAAGUAAAUUAUUGUAUCUCCAUCCAGAUGGUGGAGUACCGCGCAGACAUUAAAAGUCAUGUAAAAGAACAUCUGACUGAAAGAAAAAUGCUCCUUGAAUAUUAAAAGGUUGUAAAAAUA